CCUACGGGCGGCUGCAGUGGGGAAUAUCGCACAAUGGGCGCAAGCCUGAUGCAGCCAUGCCGCGUGUGUGAAGAAGGCCUUCGGGGUGUAAAGCACUUUCAGCGGGGAGGAAGGCGUUAAGGUUAAUAACCUUGUCGAUUGACGUUACCCGCAGAAGAAGCACCGGCUAACUCCGUGCCAGCAGCCGCGGUAAUACGGAGGGUGCAAGCGUUAAUCGGAAUUACUGGGCGUAAAGCGCACGCAGGCGGUCUGUCAAGUCGGAUGUGAAAUCCCCGGGCUCAACCUGGGAACUGCAUUCGAAACUGGCAGGCUAGAGUCUUGUAGAGGGGGGUAGAAUUCCAGGUGUAGCGGUGAAAUGCGUAGAGAUCUGGAGGAAUACCGGUGGCGAAGGCGGCCCCCUGGAUAAAGACUGACGCUCAGGUGCGAAAGCGUGGGGAGCAAACAGGAUUAGAUACCCUUGUAGUC
rnacentral:rRNA from 1 species